UACGAAGGGGGCUAGCGUUGUUCGGAAUUACUGGGCGUAAAGCGCGCGCAGGCGGUCCUUUAAGUCAGGGGUGAAAGCCCAGAGCUCAACUCUGGAACUGCCUUUGAAACUAGAGGACUUGGGUACGGGAGAGGUGAGUGGAAUUCCGAGUGUAGAGGUGAAAUUCGUAGAUAUUCGCAAGAACACCAGUGGCGAAGGCGGCUCACUGGCCCGGUACUGACGCUGAGGCACGAAAGCGUGGGGAGCAAACAGG
rnacentral:rRNA from 1 species